AAAGUAACGUGGGGCGAGUAAGGGAGCGCGCGAGUGCGCGCGAGCCCGAGCGACCUGCGCGCGGCAGGCAAGUAAAAAGCAGGGGGUUGAAGUUUGCAGAAGCCUGUGGCUCGCUCCGCUUUUCCUUGAAGGAAAUCUCAGUGAAAGUAGCAGAGACUAACCACGGGGUUUCUUGUUGGGGGAGGGAUGCGUCUUGGUAACAAGAACAGAACUCGGCUUUUCGGUAUUGGUUCCCUUUGUGCUACUCUGAAGGUGAGAUUUCAUUCACAACUUUAUCGGAGGCUUAUUUUUCCGCGAGCUGCCGUUCCACGGACGCACGAGAAAGAAGUUAACUGUGCCUUUGAUGGGAAGUGCGUGAGUAUCGCAGCAGCUGGCGUGCACACACAUCGUGGCAAGACUGGAACCGCUGCACCGGCUUCGUAGGAUUUUGCGCCACUUCUUGAAAGGUCGACCUGUCUCCAUUUUAGCAUGAAAGAUCCCUAAGGUGCCGGUGCCGGCAGUCUUUGAUACACGUGUUUCAGGCACAGAGGAGAUGCGCCCCGUGAGAAAUAAUGAGUUCCGGUUUUGGAAUGCUUUCACAUUUGGAUAGGAGGGAAAUGGCCAAGCGUUUUUUGGAGACUGCCUGGAAAGCACUAGUCAGUUUCAAAUGUCUGGAAAUGAAAGGCAAUGGGAUAAAUCAACGUUGAGACCUGAAACCUCCCCCUCCCCCUCCCAAGUUGCUUUGGUUGUCCUCCUGGCAGAAGCGUGGAACUACUGAGAAUUGGUAAAUGAAGCAGCUUGAGGAUCUUGUUUGAUGAGGAUUGACUUAAGAGGAAUUUCGAAGUUUUAAAUAAAGGAGACAUUCUACUAAGCUAAUGCUGACCCGCCGGAUUUGUUUAUUUGUUUCUGUUUUUUUCUGUUUCUCUAACAGAAAAUCUGUAGUAUCUUUACCUGUGUGCCUUCUUUAAAGAGCAGUUCAUGGAGCUGUUUUUUUAUUUGAACCACGAGUGAAUGAUGCAGUUUUAGCUUCUUGGUGGUAACUUCUCUGGUAAGAAAGGCACUGCUUUGGCAAGCAUUUAUCUUUUGUUGAAACUUAGUUAACAAGUUUGGGGCGUCAAUACAUCCGUCCCCAUUGUUUUACUUUAUAGAGACUUUCUGAAAGGAGCUUUCUGAAAUAGAUAUAAAUUUGCUCCUAACAGGUUUUUUUUUUCUUUGAAAUACUCGAAAAAAUGGGUAUUACAUUACGGUGUUUGAAAUGAUCUUUUUAAACAUGUAUACUACUUACGUGUCUGAAAGUGCAUCAAUUAUAAAUGAAAAACAGAAGAAAAGCAUCAACCAAUCUGUAGACCUCAAUGAAUGCUUAAACUGAUUCAGUGUAAUUUGAGGUUGUUGCUCUUUCUUGGAAUUGGGAAGAGGUUUAUGUUACUAGUUUUCAUAGAAUGCAAAAUGAAAAAGAAGAAAACCAGGGCUCUCUUUCCUUGGUUAGAUUUGGUGGUGUGUGGGUUGGCCAAAGGAACAAUUCAGCGCUUUUUGAACUCCUGUGAUCCUGAUGUUCUUGAGAAAGCAUCCUCUCUCUAGGGAUUUGAUCACUUUCUCCAGUCCAUGGCCAGUCCAUUUGAUCAGCUCCCAGGCUAGGUUGGAAACACUUGGGAUGCUGCAAGUCUAUGCUUGUGCCUACCGUGAAGUUUUCUCCCCGGGGUCCUAUCCAAAAGUUUUAUCUAUCAAGUGUUACUUCACUUACUGGAACACACUGAUAAUUAAGUUUAAAAGUACUAAGUUUAGGGUCAGAAGCAAAGUGUUAUAACUUGCCCACUCCCCAAAUCAGUUCUAACUUGCUGUCUUUACUCUCCACUACCUGUUCACAGAACUCAAUAGAGUUCCCAAUUUGUUGUGAAUAAAAACUAAAAUGACUCUAUUAACUAAUGCUUUCUUAGGAACAGCCUUUGAGAACCAACUCUUUGGAUUUUUUUUAAUGCAGUAUUUUAAAAUUGGAAGCCUUCUGAUUGCAUAUAAAAGAUGUCUAGAUUUUGAAGGCAUCUUUCCCUUUAGGUUAUCUUCCUUGAGAAUAGGAGGCAUCUGUGUCUUUUUUCAUUCUCAAGAUCAUAUUUGUUCUGAUUGGCGUGCUAUAAUAAUUAUAUUGCAAAACUCAUCAAACUGUUACGGAUGAUGGUGUUUAGGACAAUCAAGUUGCUUUAAUCCUGUGCUUGAAAUGAAUAAUAUAUGUGCAGUUACUUCCUGCUUGUUUAAAAUAAUAUAGUCUUGCUCAUAGAUCUAUAAUUUUGAUAUUUCACACUUUUGUAUAUUCCUUUGUUUUUUGAGACAGCAGUCUCAAUCUGCAUUGCAGCUAACUUAGAACUCACUGUGUAUAUAGUCUACACUGGCCUCAAACUUGAAUAUGUAGCUGUCCUCGUCCCACUGCUUCUCAAGUGCUGAGAUUUGGUGCAGACAUGUACCAUCAAGUCUGGCUUUAGUCUUUUGUUUUAAAAUCUGUCAAUAAUGUUAAAUAUACCACCUCCAAAGGUGUCUUGGAAAAAAUAAUACCCAUUUCAUCCUCUGGAGGAGCUUGUUAUUGGUUCAUUUUAUCUUGAUGCACAUAUAGAUGUAUUUUCAUUCAUUUCUUUCUAAUUACAGUUUUUCAACACAGUAUAAAUAAUCAUUUAAAAUAAAUAAACAUGGCUAUUUUGUCAUCUUUUGUUUUGAGACAGGGU
rnacentral:lncRNA from 1 species